UACUUCAUCUUAUUUUCUACUUCAAAAAAAAAAUAAUAAAAAAUAAUUUAAAAAAGCAAAAAAAAUUAAUAAAAAAAUAUAUAAAUAAAAUAAAAACCUAAUUCUUUCUCUCUCAUAUCAUCUUCAUCUUCUAUCUUUUAUUUUUUCUUCUCUACAGGAUGACUCACGCCGUUGCCGCCGCUCCAACCGAAAGCCACCGCUCAUCACGUCGCCGCUGGACUGCGCCAAAGACUUCAGCAGCCACGGCGAUUGGAUCUCGCGCACAUCAUAGGUCCACGAUCACGCUCCAUCCUCGCCGGACGUAGCCUUCAUGCAAGCCUCCCCACUGGUAGCGAGGCCCGCGCGACCUCGCUCCCCGGUUGUGCAUCUCUUUUCGCCGAUUGCAAGUCUGUCCGCGCCCUUUGCCGGUCGCGAUGUCUUCGCCGCUGAUGCCAGCCCAGCCACUCCUUUCUCACCGGUUGUAGCUUCUUCCGCACUGACACUGCCGCUCUGCCGCCGUCAACCUCCUCGCCAUCAGCAGCCACACUCCAGCGUUUGCAGAUGAGAUGAGUUAUGAUGAUGAAGAGGUGAAACAUGAGAUCCUGAAGCAACUCCAAGAUUGAAAAAAUGCAACCCAACCACCAGCAGCUUAAGUUCUAUACGACUUACUCCUCAGGGAAGUUUUUUUUAACUUACUUUUAUUUUAUUUUGUGGACUUCCCCCAUUUGAUUGAAUUUUUUUUCCACAUUGAGGACAAUGUGAGGAGUAAGUGUGGGGGAGAUGUGGCAUGGAAAUUGAAGAGUUUUUUUUUUUGAUUGAUGAGAUUGAUUGAUGAUUGAUGAACAUAUAUAUCUAUUUUAUUCUGAAUUUUUUGAGAAUUUUUAUUCUUUUUCUGCCUUUUUUUUUGAGUUUUUGCUGUUUGAGUUAGAGACUUGUCCAAGCUUAUAAACACUUGAUCUGUUUUUAUGAUUCUCAGUAAUUUCUCAGCACUUGUACUUGCUAAAUUGUUUCUCAUAUUUAAUUGAUUUUUAGUAUUGGCAUCAUUCUGAUAAAAAAAAUAAAAAAAUAAAUUUUACAACUCCUUACUUGCCAUAAGAAAUUGAUAUGUCCUUUAUUAUAGAAUUCAAGUUCUUAUGCCAUUUGUAUGCUAGCUUAAAUAGAAUAAGUUGAUUAUUGUUCAUUUUGUUAGUUUUAUUUUUAAAGCUUGUUUUGAAAGCUCAUGAAGUAUGGUCCUUAUUUAAAUAGUUGGGUAAUGAAUGCAUGUUCUUUUAAAAGAAUUGCUGCCCUUUGUUGAAAAUGAAUUAAAAGACAUUUUCUAGACUAUAUGUUUAUAUGGAAAUUAAGGCGUGUCAUCAAAGAAAAAUAAGAAAAAAAGAAUCAUAAAAAUAAAAAUUAGAAAUAAAUACACUCCUAUGACCCACUCCUUUAGUUGCUUGAUCAAUUGGUUACCAACCUGAUGGCCCAAGUAGUGCGGUACUUGGUGACCCCUUAAGGUGAUUUCGCAUGGAGAAAUUAGUGUUUGGGAGAGUAUCACCCCUUUUGGGCCGUUUAAAAAAAACUCGCACAUACCUUUUUAUUAGAUAACCAUGAGUGGAGCUAGUAGCCACUUGAGCUGAAUAACUUGUAGCAAGUGGCUCAAUAACUAUUUGUUUCACGUUCACUUGAUCGGUUUCAGGCAAGAUAUAGUAGGAAGUGUAAAUAAUAAAUAAUAAAUCUCCAAGUCUUUAAAUUUUAUUAGUCUAGUCAAGAGUUCCUAAGAUUCCAUUCUUUCAAAAAGGCAGUUUAAUAUUAUAUGACAUUCUAAUAUUUUAUGUGCUUAAAAUUGAAUUGAGGACCAAUUUUAUGUCUUGAGAAACACGCUUUAAAUAUGAAACUUAUUGAAGUGAACUUUGGUGAAAUUAAGUUAUUUCUGCUAUCAUCCUAUUGCAUGACAAUUUGAUUUUUUGUUUUGGACAAAUUAAAUUUUAGAUUGAUUGAGAACAGAGCUGUGUUUUAUUGUUUCAUUUUAAUUUCUGUGCUUGAGGACUAGCAAAGGUGAAAGUGAGGGGGAAUCUGAUGAGUUGUUUGAGCAGAAGUUGAGAAAAGGGACGAAAAAAUGCUGAAUUAAAGGAUUUUUGAACGGGGGUUACAACCUUGACCAGACCUAUAAUCCAGGGCGAUGAGGAGAUAAGAUAGAUUUUGCCACCUAAGCAAGGAUGAGAUCAGCUUCAAGUGGGGUCAAAUUGAAUCGAACUCAAUCAGAUUAGGAUAGAGAUAAGGUAGGAACAAUAUAUUUUAUUUUAAAUUAUUAAGUUUUAUCAUUUUGUGCCUUUAUAUAGGC